AACGAACGCUGGCGGCAUGCCUAACACAUGCAAGUCGAACGAGACCUUCGUUUCUAGUGGCGCACGGGUGCGUAACGCGUGGGAACCUGCCCUUUGAUUCGGACUAACUCCCCGGAAGAGGUUCUAAUACCGGUUAAUGUCUUCGGUCUAAAGGUUUUUCGCCUUUGUAUUGGCCCGCGUUGUUUUAGCUUGUUGUUAGGGUCAAAGCCUGCCAAGGCGACGAUCCAUAGCUGUUCUGAGAGGAUGAUACGCCACACUGGGACUUAGACACGGCACCGACUCGUAGGGGAGGGAGCAGUGGGGAAUACUGAAGAAGGGACGAAAGGUUGAGCCAGCAAUGCCGCGUGAGUGAUGCCGGCCUUAGGGUUGUAAAGCGCUUUUACCCGGGAUGAUAAUGCCAGUACCGGGAGAAUAAGCGCCGGCUAACUCCGUG
rnacentral:rRNA from 1 species